UCACCGGGACGGCCCGGUGAGAUCUAUACCCAGCGGGACGGCCCG
rnacentral:ncRNA from 1 species